GUGGAUUAGAUACCCUGGUAGUCCACGCUGUAAACGUUGGGCGCUAGGUGUGGGGGGCCUCUCCGGUUCUCUGUGCCGCAGCUAACGCAUUAAGCGCCCCGCCUGGGGAGUAUGGCCGCAAGGCUAAAACUCAAAGGAAUUGACGGGGGCCCGCACAAGCGGCGGAGCAUGCGGAUUAAUUCGAUGCAACGCGAAGAACCUUACCUGGGUUUGACAUGGGCGCUAAAGCCACAGAGAUGUGGUGUCCUUCGGGGGCGUUCACAGGUGGUGCACGGCCGUCGCCAGCU
rnacentral:rRNA from 1 species